AUUGAACGCUGGCGGCAUGCUUUACACAUGCAAGUCAAACGGCAGCGCGGGCUUCGUCCUUGCUGCGGGUGGCGAACGGGUGAGUAAUGCAUCGGAAAGUGCCCAGUACUGGGUGAUAGCCCGUCGAAAGCCGGAUUAAUACCGCAUACGACCUGAGGGUGAAAGCGGGGGACCGAGAGGCCUCGCGCUAUUGGAGCGACCGAUGUCGGAUUAGCUAUUUGGUGGGGUAAAGGCUUACCAAGGCGACGAUCCGUAGCUGGUCUGAGAGGACGACCAGCCACACUGGGACUGAGACACGGCCCAGACUCCUACGGGAGGCAGCAGUGGGGAAUUUUGGACAAUGGGGGCAACCCUGAUCCAGCCAUGCCGCGUGCGGGAAGAAGGCCUUCGGGUUGUAAACCGCUUUUGUUCGGGAAGAAAUCCUCUGGGCUAAUACCCCGGGGGGAUGACGGUACCGGAAGAAUAAGCACCGGCUAACUACGUG
rnacentral:rRNA from 1 species